rnacentral:rRNA from 1 species
AACGAACGCUGGCGGCAUGCCUAACACAUGCAAGUCGAACGAGACCUUCGGGUCUAGUGGCGCACGGGUGCGUAACGCGUGGGAACCUGCCCUUAGGUUCGGAAUAACUCCCCGAAAGGGGUGCUAAUACCGGAUAAUGUCUUCGGACCAAAGAUUUAUCGCCUUUGGAUGGGCCCGCGUUGGAUUAGCUAGUUGGUAGGGUAAAAGCCUACCAAGGCGACGAUCCAUAGCUGGUCUGAGAGGAUGAUCAGCCACACUGGGACUGAGACACGGCCCAGACCCCUCGGGGAGGCAGCAGUGGGGAAUAUUGGACAAGGGGCGAAAGCCUGACCCAGCAAUGCCGGGUGAGUGAUGAAGGCCUUAGGGUUGUAAAGCUCUUUUACCCGGGAUGAUAAUGACAGUACCGGGAAAAUAAGCCCCGGCUAACUCCGG